AAACAAAUAAAAUAACUGAGUUUAGUUUGUUUGCCAGAUAUUGGACCUAUAUGAGUGCAAAGGGACCCGUUCAUAGAAGUAUUUCCGAGAUAAACUUAAGAUGGUUUGUGCCAUAAUGCACCUUGCAAUUAGAAAGGCCCAUCAUUCCUAAUAUGAAGAUUUUGGGACACACAUCCUCCCAAAUGGUGUUCUCCAUAAAUAUUGAGUAGCCAGUUAUAUUUUCAAAGUAGCCAGCGACUACCUGUACAUGUGUGCUGAACGCACCACAAGAAGUAUGUCCUCAACAGAUAAACAGAAAAAGGUUGCGGAAUACGAGGCGUUUCUCAAUGAGAAAUUAAGGGAUGACUUGAAAAGAAUUCUUGAACAAAGAGAUGACAUUUAUGGGCAAAUUGCUG